GACGGCGAUCUUGAGCCCUGCAUUCGCGGCGUGGCUGAGCUCCUCCGGGAACCUGAUGGAGCCGUCGGGGCCUCCGGUGUUGGUGUUCUUGUCGUAGGUGCCGGCGUCAUGCCAUCUGCACGCACGCACCAUGAUCACCGCCGUCGUUAAGCUACAAAACGUGCAUUGCUCAGGCGAGAAAAUGGGGAUGAGGAACUCACGCGAGGCGGAGCAUGAUGGGGGCGCAGCUCUUGCUGGCGAUGAGCGCGCGGAGGUCCCGGCGCGCCCUCCCGAUCUCGGCCACGUACUCCGCGUCCACCACCGGCCCUGUUGCCGCCGCCGCCGACAUGGUCACGCACCCAACGUGUGCCUUUCUCCGUCUCUUUCUUGAUGCCUG
rnacentral:lncRNA from 1 species